GGUGAUUAGCUCAGCUGGGAGAGCAUCUGCCUUACAAGCAGAGGGUCGGCGGUUCGAUCCCGUCAUCACCCACCAA
rnacentral:tRNA from 3 species